GAUGAACGCUGGCGGCGUGCCUAAUACAUGCAAGUCGAGCGAACAGAUGAGAAGCUUGCUUCUCUGAUGUUAGCGGCGGACGGGUGAGUAACACGUGGGUAACCUACCUAUAAGACUGGAAUAACUCCGGGAAACCGGGGCUAAUACCGGAUAAUAUUUUGAACCGCAUGGUUCAAUAGUGAAUGACGGUUUCGGCUGUCACUUAUAGAUGGACCCGCGCCGUAUUAGCUAGUUGGUAAGGUAACGGCUUACCAAGGCGACGAUACGUAGCCGACCUGAGAGGGUGAUCGGCCACACUGGAACUGAGACACGGUCCAGACUCCUACGGGAGGCAGCAGUAGGGAAUCUUCCGCAAUGGGCGAAAGCCUGACGGAGCAACGCCGCGUGAGUGAUGAAGGUCUUCGGAUCGUAAAACUCUGUUGUUAGGGAAGAACAAAUUUGUUAGUAACUGAACAAGUCUUGACGGUACCUAACCAGAAAGCCACGGCUAACUACGUGCCAGCAGCCGCCGUAA
rnacentral:rRNA from 1 species